GAAAUAUGGGACAUAUAUGCCAACGCUAUCCAUCUUGCCCCACAGUAACAUACAGACAGAAUAUUAGUUAGACUUAACAUUCUUGAACAAGCAGUCGAUGCGAAUUGUUUAAUUAAACUUUACGUCGCGUUUUUCACAUUCAAGAAAUUCAUUUAGAUCAACUACGUCACAGUACUUCGUAAUAAUUGAUAAUUGUGACGUACUGGGCGAAUUUCGAUCACCGGCCAUGUUAGUUGUCACGUGGUCUGGACUCCAGGGAUUCGGAUCAAUAUUGAACCUGCAGUCGGGUGCCGGAGUAACUUUGUAUUGGUUAGAUAAGGCUGGUGUGGACGGUGCUGUAUAUGCUGUUAUUAUAGACGUGUACUUAGAUAUAGUGGGGCGGGAGAAAACGGGACACUUCUAGCACAUAUUAUCUAAAUAUUUUGAUCGCGUUUUAAACAAUUAACAACGGUCUAUGGGAAUCGUGAAGAUAGGGUUUUCUAAUAGUAGUAAAACUUGGGUGCUAUAUAUGCUGAAGGUGUAUUUAAGUAUAUACAGUAACUACACAUUGCAUUAAAUAUAGGUUGCUGGUGUAUUGUAAUAUAAUGUUUUACUUAGACACCUUUUGGACUAGUAUAGAUAUAUUCAGAUUCAUUGCCGAGCUGUAAGAACCUCACUUUCACAGAAUAAAUAAGACGCCUUUAUGUUAACUCAGCUCUAUUGAUAAGCAUAACAUACAUAUAGGUGUCUUAUUAGAUAUAAGCUUCGUUGAGCAUUUCUUGCUAGUUUCUGCAGUACGUGACUUAUAUUUGAGAUAUAAUGGGCUAAUGACGUCAUACUGACGAAGAAGUGACGUCAUACUGACGUAACAGUGACGUCAUGGCGUCAUCGUUAUGCAUGAGUACGUCACUGACAAACGUGUUCGUUCAACGAGUGACGGUUCUCGAUAUUAUGGAGGUUAUUACGUCAGAGACACGUCACAACACAUGGACAUACGUCAUCGGGGUCACGUGGUCAGAUACAAGAGAGCACAAGAUUCAACGAAACUACAACGAAAUAACUCAGUUCUACAACUUGAUCUACCGUUUGAUCGCCAGCGAUAAAAACGCAAAGCUGAGGUUUCUGAAAGAUUUGCCGAAAGUCCCAGCGCGUGGUUUCUUUGAUUGGAGUUCAUUCAAACUAAUGGUUCGAAACCAAGCAACCGUCGAUUCCUUUCUACGAGUUCUCAUCAAACUGCCUGCACAGGUAUCACGUCAUCAGAGCGUCCUUGACUUUUUCGAGCUCCACGAUUCCGACGCCUUAAAUGACGUCACAAAACUGAACAAUUAUAAAUCGAAGACGGUUCCUGAAACUCCGCCGCGAGAGGUCGCUGUUGAUUCGUGUUUUGAAGAGCCAUCCAAUCAGAAUCUUCGCAGAGUUGCCCCGCCCACUUUCCUUCCGGUUAAAUCUUGCUUCGAACCUGAUGACGUCAUACCAUCAAGCGGGUACCAGAUAAUGUUAGAAGACGUCACACCGUUCGAACUUUACGAGAAUUACGAAAAACGUGGUUUCUACGUCACGCCGAUGUCCGACUACUUUUGUGAAGAUAUUUUUGCCUCCGAGAAUAUAAUAAAGAAACAAACGGAGGAGGAGCGAUGGAGGAGGGAGUGUGAGGAAAUUAUUUCUCCUUAUUCUCCGAACAAAGCUUAUUUCCGAUUGGUGCACGCUCUAGAAAACCAAGAUUGUGACGUCAUAUUUUAGAAUGUUACGUCAUCUAUUGCAUAUUCACGUCUUAUAUAAGAUUGUGACGUCAUAUGUUCAACUCUUUAACUCUAUGUUCCAUUACCGCGAUAUUAUUUUGUGACGUCACAUAGUGCAAUAUUAUGCUGCUGACCAAAAUCUAGAAAUUUAAAAAUUCUUCAGAAAAUUUGAAGCAACAUAUUUAUUUUCACUGUGAAUAUUAGAAAAUUUACUUUUCCUUUUGCUUUUUCAUCCAUUUCUUUGUUUAGUGGAUUAAAAAUUGCGCUAUGAAUACAAACGUGAAUACAUUUAAAGUUUAAACUAUUCGUCCCCUUUAUUUAUAAGGUUUCUAUGUCCGGUAUAUAAACUUGGGCUCGCAAUUUUUUUCUUCAUUCUGCAUUAUUCACCGUAGGUGUUUCACCACUUGCGUGUACAGUGUUAUGCUACGCUGCUGUAUAAGAACUGCAAUCAUGAAAUCGUUUUAUGCUGUACACAUCGGGAAAUCGCCAGGUGUUUACGAUACGUGGCCUGAAUGCCUGGCGCAAGUUUCUAAGUUUAAAGGCGCAAAAUAUAAAAAGUUUUCCAACAAAGACGAAGCGUCUUACUUCGCGCAUACAGGAACCGAACUAAGCAAAGAUAAAUCCGAUAUUUUGGACAUUUUUAAAGAUGAAUUGGCCGACAAUUCUGCAAAAGAAUCAAAGCCAAAUAAUAUUCCACAAAGCUCAAUUGUAUCGCGCAAACGAAAAGUAAAACCCGAUUCAAAUUCUCGUUUUGGAAAAGUUCAAAAAACGAACGAUCAGCCAACUAAUGCAGAUUCAUCCGAUGGUAGUUGCCCUGUUGUUUACACUGAUGGUGCUUGCUCUAAAAAUGGAAGGAAAGGAAGCAGAGCUGGAUAUGGUGUGUGGUGGGGUGAUGACCAUAAACUGAACUUUUCAGCCAGACUCCCUGGUAUCCCUACGAACCAAAGAGCUGAAAUAGCAGCCGUGAACAAAGCUAUAAAACAAGCCAUUGAUGUUGGUCAUAAACAACUAUUGAUUCGAACAGAUUCCAAAUUUGUGAUCGAUUGUAUAACGAAGUGGGUGCAAGGU